GACGAACGCUGGCGGCGUGCUUAACACAUGCAAGUCGAACGGAAAGGCCCUGCUUUUGUGGGGUGCUCGAGUGGCGAACGGGUGAGUAACACGUGAGUAACCUGCCCCUGACUUUGGGAUAACUUCAGGAAAAUGGGGCUAAUAUCGGAUAGGAGCUCCUGAUGCAUGGUGGGGGUUGGAAAGUUCCGGCGGUUUGGGAUGGAAUCGCGGCUUAUCAGCUUGUUGGUGGGGUAGUGGCUUACCAAGGCUUUGAAGGGUAGCCCGCCUGGGAGGGGGGCCGGGCUCAUUGGGACUGAGAGACGGCCCAGUCUCCUACGGUACGCAGCGGUCGGGAAUAUUACGCAAUGGGCCCAAGCCUGAUGCGACAGCCCCGCGUUCGUGAUGACGGCCUUCUAGUUGUGAACCGCUUUCGCCUGUGACGAAGCCUGAGUGACGGUAAUGGGUAAAGAAGCACCGGCUAACUACGUG
rnacentral:rRNA from 1 species